rnacentral:rRNA from 1 species
GUAGGGAAUAUUGGACAAUGGGUGCGAGCCUGAUCCAGCCAUGCCGCGUGCAGGAAGACGGCCUUCUGGGUUGUAAACUGCUUUUGCCAGGGGAUAAAACGGCUCUGCGGAGCUAAUUGAAGGUACCUGGUGAAUAAGCCACGGCUAACUACGUGCCAGCAGCCGCGGUAAUACGUAGGUGGCAAGCGUUGUCCGGAUUUAUUGGGUUUAAAGGGUGCGUAGGUGGUUCCAUAAGUCAGUGGUGAAAUACGGCAGCUUAACUGUCGAGGUGCCAUUGAUACUGCGGAACUUGAGUACAGACGAGGUAGGCGGAAUUGACGGUGUAGCGGUGAAAUGCUUAGAUAUCGUCAAGAACACCGAUAGCGAAGGCAGCUUACUAGACUGUAACUGACACUGAGGCACGAAAGUGUGGGGAUCAAACAGGAUUAGAAACCCGAGUAGUCC